rnacentral:rRNA from 1 species
AACGCUGAAGCACCAGCUUGCUGGUGUGGAUGAGUGGCGAACGGGUGAGUAAUACGUGAGUAACCUGCCCUUGACUCUGGGAUAAGCCCGGGAAACUGGGUCUAAUACUGGAUGCUACAUGUCACCGCAUGGUGGUGUGUGGAAAGGGUUUACUGGUCUUGGAUGGGCUCACGGCCUAUCAGCUUGUUGGUGAGGUAAUGGCUCACCAAGGCGACGACGGGUAGCCGGCCUGAGAGGGUGACCGGCCACACUGGGACUGAGACACGGCCCAGACUCCUACGGGAGGCAGCAGUGGGGAAUAUUGCACAAUGGGCGAAAGCCUGAUGCAGCGACGCCGCGUGAGGGAUGACGGCCUUCGGGUUGUAAACCUCUUUCAGCAGGGAAGAAGCCACAAGUGACGGUACCUGCAGAAGAAGCGCCGGCUAACUACGUGCCAGCACGGGCGGUAAUAA